GUCAGUGAGUUGACUGUAAUUCUGGCCAUGGGGGGACGUGUAUAGGGCUGAGAUCCAAGAAAGCAUAUUCUUGUCUAGUCCAAUCACUCACAGUACUGCACCAAGGUAUGACCAAUACAACCGGAUGAACACUCUCUGUACAUCUGUGGAAAGUAGCAGUGCUGGCGGUUUCUUUGUUUUUCGGGAAAUUAGUCAAAUUAAUUACGCACACCAUAUUACACUUGGCUCCCUCCCGGAUACGAAACCAACCUGAUCCGGAUGGAUCAAUGUCAGUAUAUGGGACUGUAGACGCAGAGCAGGGAGUUUGGCAACAAGUUUCAGGUCUGUGUUCAACAAGGAGAUCGGCCGAUGCGGGGUCAGAGGGACGUAUUCUUAUCCUCCUUUGCAAUCACCGUUAUGUGAGCUGAAAAGGUUUGCGUAUCUAAAUGAUUGCCUUCAGUCAGGAAGUUCAGAAGUCACAAGAAUCGAGGGUCCAGAAUGCAGAAGUAUUAACUAAAAUAUUUAAUUUUGAACCCGCCUUGGACUGGACCUUUGCUGUCAUUUUUAGCUGUUUUAAUUGCUAAGGGAAGUUCCUCCAUCGUAAUGGUGAAUUCCAGAAAAGCAAUGGUUUCUGGUGUCAAGACAAUUAUCACGUGUUGGUGUAGGUAAGUGCUCCAUUGGGCACGAUGUCUGGCCUAUCUAAAGGUGAGGGGUUGUCACGCAUAAUGUACAGUGUUUCAGGUAUUGACAGAAUGCUUCUGCUUUUUCAUUAGAGUGUUGUGGGUGCGAACAUUGUUUUGGAUUUUAGGGACAUACAUUUUCAUCCAUCUAAUUUUAAUGUCUCUAGCUAGCAAUCUACCACUUUUAAAAACCCG